rnacentral:tRNA from 1 species
GCGCCCGUAACUCAGGGGAUAGAGUAUCCGAUUUCUAAUCGGUCUGUCGAAGGUUCAAAUCCUUCCGGGCGCACCA